AGCGAACGUUAGCGGCGGGCUUAACACAUGCAAGUCGAGCGAGAAAGAGGGGCAACUCUUGAGUAAAGCGGCGGACGGGUGAGUAACACGUAGGUAAUCUUCCCUUGAGCGGGGGACAACGUUUCGAAAGGAACGCUAAUACCGCAUAAGUCUCUUGAGUCUUCGGGCUUGGGAGGGAAAGCUAGGCAGCAAUGUCUGGCACUCGAGGAGGGGCCUGCGUCGCAUCAGCUAGUUGGUGAGGUAAUGGCUCACCAAGGCGAAGACGCGUAGCUGGUCUGAGAGGAUGAUCAGCCACACUGGGACUGAGACACGGCCCAGACUCCUACGGGAGGCAGCAGUGGGGAAUAUUGGACAAUGGGCGCAAGCCUGAUCCAGCCACGCCGCGUGAGUGAUGAAGGCCUUCGGGUCGUAAAGCUCUGUGGAGGGGGACGAACCGCUGGAGGUUAAUAGCUUCCAGCAUGACGGUACCCUUUUAGCAAGCACCGGCUAACUUCGUG
rnacentral:rRNA from 1 species